GACGAACCGUGCAAACGUUGUUCGGAAUCACUGGGCUUAAAGGGCGCGUAGGCGGGCAAGCAAGUCCGGGUGAAAUCUUUCGGCCCAACCGGAAAAGGGCCUUGGAUACUGCUUGUCUGGAGGGAGGUAGGGGCAGACGGAACUUCCGGUGGAGCGGUGAAAUGCGUUGAUAUCGGAAGGAACGCCGGUGGCGAAAGCGGUCUGCUGGACCUCUACGUGACGCUGAGGCGCGAAAGCCAGGGGAGCGAACCGGG
rnacentral:rRNA from 1 species